AAAAACAUCACCUCUAGCAUUUCCAGUAUUAGAGGCACUGCCUGCCCAGUGACAUCUGUUUAAACGGCCGCGGUAUCCUAACCGUGCAAAGGUAGCAUAAUCACUUGUUCCCUAAAUAGGGACUUGUAUGAAUGGCCACACGAGGGUUUUACUGUCUCUUACUUCCAAUCAGUGAAAUUGACCUUCCCGUGAAGAGGCGGGAAUGACUAAAUAAGACGAGAAGACCCUAUGGAGCUUUAAUUAACUGAUUCACAAAAAACAACACACAAACCUAACCUUCAGGGACAACAAAACUUUUGAUUGAAUCAGCAAUUUCGGUUGGGGUGACCUCGGAGAACAAAACAACCUCCGAGUGAUUUAAAUCCAGACUAACCAGUCAAAAUAUAUAAUCACUUAUUGAUCCAAACCAUUGAUCAACGGAACAAGUUACCCUAGGGAUAACAGCGCAAUCCUAUUCCAGAGUCCAUAUCGACAAUUAGGGUUUACGACCUCGAUGUUGGAUCAAGACAUCCUAAUGGUGCAACCGCUAUUAAGGGUUCGUUUGUUCAACGAUUAAAGUCUUACAUGAUCUGA
rnacentral:rRNA from 1 species